rnacentral:rRNA from 1 species
ACAAUUGACCAACGAACCAAGCUACCCUGGGGAUAACAGCGCAAUCCAUUUCAAGAGACCUCAUCAACAAAUGGGCUUACGACCUCGAUGUUGGAUCAGGGCAUCCUG